rnacentral:rRNA from 1 species
AGCGAACGCUGGCGGCAGGCCUAACACAUGCAAGUCGAGCGCCCGUAACGAUACGGGAGCGGCAGACGGGAGAGUAACACGUGGGAACGUACCCUUUGGUUCGGAACAACACAGGGAAACUUGUGCUAAUACCGGAUAAGCCCUUACGGGGAAAGAUUUAUCGCCAAAGGAUCGGCCCGCGUCUGAUUAGCUAGUUGGUGGGGUAACGGCUCACCAAGGCGACGAUCAGUAGCUGGUCUGAGAGGAUGACCAGCCUCAUUGGGACUGAGACACGGCCCAAACUCCUACGGGAGGCAGCAGUGGGGAAUAUUGGACAAUGGGCGCAAGCCUGAUCCAGCCAUGCCGCGUGGAUGAUGAAGGCCUUAGGGUUGUAAAGUCCUUUUAACGGGAAGAUAAUGACGGUACCGGAAGAAUAAGCCCCGGCUAACUUCGUGCCAGCAG